rnacentral:misc_RNA from 1 species
GGAAGGAUCAUUCUUGUACUUGUCAUCUUUACAGAUGUCAUACAAACCAACAACUGUGUGGACUAUACCUUUGACUGUUGUCGAAGCAUGGCCUUGGUAGAAGGCGGAGUGAAACUGCAACAAGUAGUAGUAGCUUGCGCACUACCGUUAACGGUCUUUCGGCGACUCUUUACCACGUACAACAACAACCAACCAAUAUACUUAUAAACUAUAUAUACCAAAUACAACUUUUAGCAACGGAUCUCUAGGCUCUCGCAACGAUGAAGAACGCAGCGAAAUGCGAUAAAGUAGUGUGAAUUGCAGACCGUGAAUCAUCGAAUCUUUGAACGCACAUUGCACUGUCUGGAACUCCGGGCAGUAUAUCUGUUUGAGCAUCAAUUUCUUACUCUUGUAUCUACGUGAACAGGCCUUGUGCUUGUUUCGGCAGAUUGCAGGGAAUUGAAGCGUAGCCCACCAAAGCUUGCUUCUAAAUAACAGAGUUACGAUUCUCGUCAACUGCCACACAGUUAAGUCCGCAAGGAAUCUCUGUUGCAAGAAAGACGUAGUUAAAAUGUAGCCUUAAACUUAUGAAUGGGUUCUCUCUAGCUAGCUAGUGUAGAACUCUGAACUUUGAUCUCAAAUCAGAUAAGAUUACCCGCUGAACUUAAGCAAUUAAUAAGCGGAGGAAAAGAAACUAACCAGGAUUCCCUCAGUAACGGCGAGUGAAGUGGGAAUAGCUCAAAUUUGUAAUCUCCUUGGAGAAUUGUAGUUUGUAGAGGCGUUUUCGAUGGCUAGCCGGGAACAUGUCCCUUGGGAUAGGGCGUCAUAGAGGGUGAGAAUCCCGUAUAUGGUCCGGUUAUGUCACAUUUGAUUACGUCUUCAAAGAGUCGGGUUGUUUGGGGACUGCAGCCCUAACUGGGUGGUAUAUUCCAUCUAAAGCUAAAUACAGGCGAGAGACCGAUAGCGAACAAGUACUGUGAAGGAAAGAUGAAAAGAACUUUGAAAAGAGAGUUAAAUAGUACGUGAAAUUGCUAAAAGGGAAACGCUUGAAACCAGUGUAACUAGGUCGAAAUCAGCCAUUCACUACGGAUGGUGCACUUUUGGCCUGGUUGGUCAACAUCAGUUUCGUGUGGUGUACAACUGGUCGGGAAAGUAGCUCCUCGAGUGUUAUAGACCGGCCAAUUCCACCUUGCGAGACUGAGGAAUGCCUUUGCAGGAUGUUGACGAAAUGGUUUUAAACGACCCGUCUUGAAACACGGACCAAGGAGUCUAACAUAUGUGCGAGUAUUUGGGUGUUAAAACUCGAAUGCGUAAUGAAAGUGAACGUAGGUGGGAUCCCUCUGGGUGCACCAUCGACCGAUCUGGAUUUUUAAUGAUAGAUUUGAGUAAGAGCACAGAUGUUGGGACCCGAAAGAUGGUGAACUUUGCCUGCAUAGGGCGAAGCCAGAGGAAACUCUGGUGGAGGCUCGUAGCGAUUCUGACGUGCAAAUCGAUCGUCAAAUGUGGGUAAAGGGGCGAAAGACUAAUCGAACCAUCUAGUAGCUGGUUCCCUC